GAUGAACGCUGGCGGCGUGCCUAAUACAUGCAAGUCGAGCGAACAGACGAGGAGCUUGCUCCUCUGACGUUAGCGGCGGACGGGUGAGUAACACGUGGAUAACCUACCUAUAAGACUGGGAUAACUUCGGGACACCGGAGCUAAUACCGGAUAAUAUAUUGAACCGCAUGGUUCAAUAGUGAAAGACGGUUUUGCUGUCACUUAUAGAUGGAUCCGCGCCGCAUUAGCUAGUUGGUACGGUAACGGCUUACCAAGGCAACGAUGCGUAGCCGACCUGAGAGGGUGAUCGGCCACACUGGAGCUGAGACACGGUCCAGACGCCUACGGGAGGCAGCAGUAGGGAAUCUUCCGCAAUGGGCGAAAGCCUGACGGAGCAACGCCGCGUGAGUGAUGAAGGUCUUCGGAUCGUAAAGCUCUGUUAUUAGGGAAGAACAAAUGUGUAAGUAACUAUGCACGUCUUGACGGUACCGGAUCAGAAAGCCACGGCUAACUACGUG
rnacentral:rRNA from 1 species